AAAACUAUGAGUGCAUUGCAUUUGUAAGUGAGAAAUUGCCCAUACUCAAUAGGAUUUCUACUACCUGGCUAAUUUUUGGCUUGCUGUUUUCUUACUAAUUAGGAAUGUUGUACUUGUCAUCUGGAUUUGUGUUCCUUAAAGUUCCCUUUGCUAGUUGACUUGAUAUUUAUGAGUAAUGCCACCUGACGUGUUGAAAGUUUUUGGUGCUAUGAGAAAAUGAGGAAAUCAAAAAGUAAACUAAAACAAACGCACACUAAGAAGUAAAAGUGUCUCAAGCACAACUUUUUAAAGUAGUGAAGUAAAUAAACUGUAAUGCCUGUGAAUGUGACAACUGGACCCACUUUUGAGUUACUUAUGUUGAUAGGUUUCACUAAGUAGGUCUAUAGAUGGACAUUGUGAUUCAUGGGAAGUCCUGUAAUUUGGUGUUAGCAUAUAAUGGAUCACUGCUAUUGUGGUUGAGUAUAUGUGGCAGAGGGACAAUUAGAUAAGCUUUUAGUGAUCUUAUCGGAGAAUCUUUCCAAGCUGUUCUAAAGUAGUUUCAUAUGCUAAAGUAGUUAUCCAAAAUAGUACAGCUAAUAUUUAUCCAACUAGUUUGGACUGAUAGACUUCAAUCUGUCAAAUUCUUUGUACUUCAUAGUGAUUUUCCUUUUUGGAAUGCGACUGAAUAUCAGACUAGAUCUUUGAGAUUGGUUGUACUACUUAUGAUCUUAAUUGAUGGGACCUUGUCAUGGGAUGCGCGUGAAGAUCAAAGAAAAUCUUCCUCUUUGCUUUCUCAUGCGCUAUUUUAAAUGAGAGAAAUAGAAGGGUUUGCAACAAAGUACGCUAUCGAAUUAGAUAAUGGAAGAUGAGUAGUACCAAAAUGUUGGUAGUUCUCUUGCUAUUCCUGUACAUUCCUUGUUCAUUUUUUCCUCUCUAAACUUGUGUGGGUAGAUAAGGGUGUUCGCUUAGAGUGAAUUUUCCAUUAGAUUGUAAUGCCAUGUUGCCGUUUCCAUUCUUAGCCCCUUUCUUCUUACUUCUUUAUUUCAAUUUUAAAUUUUGUGGAUAUGAUCUAAUUGAAUUCCUUGUUUUACCUGCAGAAAACACUGCGUACAGAGCUACAAUGUUUUCGAUUUUUUAAGGGAAAUUGUCAGCAGGGUUCCUGACUAUGGUCAUGGUCAUUCUGAUAACACUGCAGAUCAC
rnacentral:misc_RNA from 1 species